UUUUGGUAAUAUCUUGACUUAGUAGAAUAAAGUUUUAGUAUGAUUCAGUUUUGAGUUUUGCUUUAUGAUCCUUUGUACCACCCCCACUGUCAUGCUACAGUAAUCCCCUGUUAAUGGUGCCAUGUCAUCAUGUUACUGUGCUAAUCUUCACUUGAUCCAAAUCACAGUUCAAAUUCAAAUUUUAAAAUAAAGUAAAAAAUAACAUUUCUUUAAACAACUAAACAAAAUUGUUCACAAUGUGACAAAAAUUCCCAAGCAAUUGUGAAAAUAACAGAUACUUCAUUUGGAUGCCCAAGUUGUCCCUGUCAUUUUAUUUAGUGGUCAAGUUGCAUUUAAAUUAGCCUUUUCAAAAUAAACAAAUAUUUAUAGUUUUCCUUUUUGACAUCAAACUUUGUGGGCCUCUUCAACGUAUUGCCUAGUAUUUGUCUGCCAAUUUUCACAUUUAACCAAAUCCAUUGGUUAGCUAACGUAAAUAGACAAUAGUAAAGAAAAAUAAAUAAACAGAAAAAGUAAAAGAAAAGAAACGGAGGACCUGACUUACUAGGCCACUUGGCCCAGCCCACCCCCUGUUUUCCCCUUCCUCCUGCUACAGGAAGCAGAGGGGAUCGUGGAGGCCAUCCAUGGCACCCCGGCCAGGUGUCGGCCAUCCACGACCUUCCCCAUAGUCUACAAGACACUGGCGCCCCUCCCCCAAACCCUAAUCCCCUCCCUAGCUGCCCCAGAUCCGUUUCCCCUCUCCCUCACUCGUCCUCUUCUCCGCAGCGAUCGCAGUCACAGCCGUUGCCACGGCUUUGCCGUCCUCAUGGCCGUCCGUUGAGCUAGGAUGUCCUGGGGCUUCACCACCAUCGCCUCCUUCGUCUACGCUAUUGGGUUGGACCGGGGAGGCCUCGUACGCCCGCCAUCGCCGUCGUCCCCAUCGCGUACAUCUCCGGCCAUCAUCGUCGAUUCCGACCGCUCCAGUCCACCCCCGGCCUCCUCGAUCGCGCCCCCGAGCUCGCUGUGAGCACCUCUCCCGGAUCCCUCCUUUCCCUGCUUCAAUUUGUCGCCGUUGAGGCCGCAACCGCCUCCAACCGUCGCUGUCGUAUUGACCUGCUGCCGCUGCUGUACCGCGAGCACGCCGCAGCCGAGCGGCCUCGCGCCCCUACGCCUACCCCUGCGUCACGCACGCUUUAGCUGCUCGCUUGCCCGCGGCACCACAUGCUGCUCGCGGUCAUGCCUUGCGCCUCGUCACGCCCCCUGCCCUUGCCCUUGCGUACACGGUGUCCCGGCCGUGCCCAGCGGGCUCAAGUAGCGAUCGCGCGCUGCUCUACCUGGUGCUGCUCCCGCAUACUGCUGCUGCUACUUCCUCCUGUUUUUUUCAGCUGUGCUACUUCCUCCUAUUGCCGCUACGUACUUAGUUGCUGCUCCUUGCGCUGCCCUGUUGCUUGACUACUUUGAACCGCUACUGCUUGUACUGCUCUAGGCAUCUAGCUACUGCGUAUUGCUGCUACUACUGCUUGGGCAUGGCCGCAAGGCCCCUGUACUCGGCCGUGUGUGCCUAGGCGUGUGUAUGAGCCGGACCUUGUUUAGUCUAGCUUAGGAUUAAACUAGUGUUAAGUGAGUCUAGUAGUAGAUGACAUGUAGGGCCCCCAUUUAAAUAAGUUAGAUUUCUUUAUUUGUUUAGAGAUAGCCUAUGACAUGUGGGCCACCCCCUUCUCUAUUUGACCGGUCAAUUUGACUUAGUCAAACUCGUAAUAAAUAAUUUUAGAAUAUGUUUUAAACUUGCAAAAAUCUUAUAGAAUAAACCGUAACUCGGAUGGAAAUACUUUAUACAUGAAAGUUGCUUAGAACGACGAGACUAAUCCGAAUACGCUCUCAGUUCAUCUGUCACGCGUCCCUAGCAUAGCGAACCUGCAACUUUCCCUCUCCGGUGCGUUUGUCCGAAAAUGCCUAACACCGGGAAAACAUUCCCGGAUGUUUUCCCCCUUCGCCGGUAUCAUGUAACCCUGCGUUAGUUCACCCCUAGCACCGCGUAUUACCAUGUUAUGAUUUAUGAUGCUUUGUUUGCUUUAUAUUUAUUGUUUCUUCCCCCUCUUCUCUUCGAGAGACCCUGAGACGGCUGCCGAUGCCACUAUGUUCGACUACGUCACCGACGACCCUCCUUGUCUGAGCAACCAGGCAAGCCCCCCCUUUGAUCAUCCCGAUAUCGCCCAUUCCAUUCUCUCAUGCUUGCAUUAGAUUUUGCUAUUGUUAUUGUUUGCUCCUAUUCUGAUGCAUAGCCUGCUUUUGUAUCUGCUGUUGUACCUUACCUGCUUAUCCUUAACUGCUUAGUAUAGGUUGGUUAGUGAUCCAUCAGUGACCCCCACCUUGUCCUUGUUGCCCCUGCUUCAUCAUUGAAGACCCGAUCAACGGGAUCAAAGACCAGGCCCCGGCACCGCACAUCACUUUCCCCUUAGUUGCUCGACACUACUGGGUCACUAUCGAGUGCCGAGGGUGAGACCUCUACAGCACUUCUGAUGUUAACCCUGUAGUGUAGCUAUUCGGUCGUGGUCAUCGAGGGUGAUUCCACCUUAACCACUUCCGAUACGACUCUGUCGUGCAACCCCUCAAGUGUGAACCUCGGGGGUGGUUCCUCUUACGUUCACCUUGAUAAUUACAUCGAGUGGAAUUCACCAGGGGUGAUUCCUCGAGUUUUCCCCUUUAUGUUUGGACACACGGAUACUUGGACUUUACAACUAUUACUUGGAAAGGCGGGUCGACCCUGAGGGGUACCCGCGAGUGAUGUGGAGACGGGUUGACCUGGAGGGUGCCCGCGAGAUAAUUACGAGGCGUGGCCGGGCAUUCUUAGCCCUUGCCGCAACUCCUCGAGACGGGGCGACGGGGUCACAUCUUUCGUGAGUCUCUGCUUGUUACCGCGCGUUCCUAAUCCACUACAAUUUGGAUAUUUGAUCCGAGGGGCCUCUGGCCUGAUAGCACUAACCAUCACGUGGGCAUAGUAUGGGCGUUCUGCGUCGUAUGCAUCAGCCGAAGCUUAAUAGACGUCAGCGACUGAGCGGCGCGCGCCGGGUUGGACUGGUAAGCUCCUACCUUUUUAAGGAGGUAGCUAGGUUUGCUCACCGGCCGCCCACGCAACGUGCAGGAGUUCCCGGGGCGAUGGCCCAUGACCCCUGGGGGCAUAGGUUUAGUCCGGCGUGCUGACCUCUCUAUUAAGCCUAGGUCGGGUUGUGGCGUAUUGUUUGGCCGAGGCCGGGCAUAACCCAGGAAAGUGUGUCCGGCCGGAGUUAAUCGAGUGUGGUGGGUAAGUUGGUGCACCCCUGCAGGGAAGAAAACAUCUAUCGAUAGCCUGUCCUACGGUAAUGGACACUUGGAGUUGUAUCCCGAUCGAUACAACUAGAACUGGAUACUUGUGAUGAGAAUUGGAUUGUGAUGAGAAAUGGAUAGUAUGGCUCUGGGAUUGCUUUCUCGCAGGGAGUCGAGAAAGGAUCUCUGGCCGAGGUUGAUAACACUACUACUACUUUACUUUACGCUACUCUACUCCCUCCUGUUGCUGCAAGAUGGUGGUUUCCAGAAGAUGCUAGUCUUCGAUAGGCUAGGCUUUCCCCUUCUCUUCUGGCAUUCUGCAGUCCAGUCCACAGAUAAACCCAUUCCAUUGAUACUGAUGCAUAUGUAGUGUAGUUCCUUGCUUGCGAGUACUUUGGAUGAGUACUCACGGUUGCUUUGCUCCCCCUUUUCCCCCCUUUCUUCUUCUUCUUUCUGGUUGACGCAACCAGAUGUCGGAGCCCAGGAGCCAGAUGCCACCGCCGAUGCUUACUACUACGUGGAGGCCGCCGUCGACUAGGAGUAGUUAGGAGGCUCCCAGGCAGGAGGCCUUGCCUUUUUGAUCGAUGUUGCUUUUGUGCUAGCCUUCUUAAGGCAAACUUGUCUAAUUUAUGUCUCUACUCAGAUAUUGUAGCUUCCGCUGACUCUUAUGUUUUCGAGCUUAUGUAUUCGAGCCCUCGAGGCCCCUGGCUUGUAAUAUAAAGCUUGUAUUAUUUCAAUUUGUGUCUAGAGUUGUGUUGUGAUAUCUUCCCGUGAGUCCUUGAUCUUGAUCAUACACAUUUGCGUGUAUGAUUAGUGUACGAUUGAAUCGAGGGUGUCACAAGUUGGUAUCAGAGUCGACUGCCUGUAGGUAGCCCCCUUUCCAACUCCUUGGCCGAAGUUGAGUCUAGUCGUCCAAAACUGUUUUACUAACUUGGCUGUGUGGCUUACGGGCCCACGUCGCCAUUGGGUGGUAUUAUGAUCUUUUAUUCCUCGUCUAUACUCUGGGACUCUGAUCUCUCUUCCAUUCGGGUUAACUAAUUUUGCUAAAAAUCUAACUUUAGGUUCUCGAAAAUACUUUCUCCCGGAGAGCCCCUUCAGUCCAGAUGAUCGCUUGCUGCACCAGAAGAUUUUGAAGAUACUCUCCGAUGUUUCCCUGAAACCCUUGUGCCCUUCGCCGUUGCAAUUCCAUAUCACUGAUAAAUCCCUAUGGACAGCUGCAUACACUUGUCGUCCAUACCUUCUUUUCCAAUUGUUCUUGUUAUUACAAAAUACCUUGAAAUACUUCAGAAUUUCCGAGAAUCCUUUGUGCCUGCUGCCUUGCAGCUUCUUUUCCGCCUGAAUACCCCCCUACGAAUAAUUCCUCACACUUAUCGAGGAUUCGUUCAUCCCCAGUUGUUCAUAUGUCUCACAAAAGUCUUUGAAUUACUAUUCGAUCUUUCGAUAAUCCUCAAUAGCAUGUUGUUCUUACAAUUCUUACUUGCUUGCAUUAUGGAUAAUCCCAUAAGUCUAGUAAUCUUAUUGGCAUCCUUUUUCACUAUCCUUUUGAGUCCGUAGAUUCAAUAUGUUGCGAAUGCUCGCAAUCCUCAGUCGGAUCAUAGAAUUCAUCCUUCCGGCUUGGACGUCAUUUGACCAAGAGUUGAUUCUCGACCAAUCAAAUUACCAUCGAUUGUACCUCUAAGUCUAUUCAAUUUAUCCGUCCUUAAUCAGAGUGUUUGCUUCUGAUCCCUUGAUUUGGAAAUCAUAAUUCCUUUGUAUUUAAGCUUUGGAAUUAUCCAGAUAUUUCUAUAAUCUGAUGCCUUUGCAUUCUUUCUUCCUCUGAUUGAGCACCGAUACUCACCUCAGCUCCAUUGUGGAUCACCAGAUCCUUUGUUGGAUUUUAUCCGACAGUGUCCUUCAUAUUCUAUCACCUUGUGAAUUCUCCCCCGAUACAUAAUGCCUUUGGUAAAUUGUAUCUUAUGCUUUUGUCAAUCAUGCUCUGCUUCAAGCAUGUGUUAAUUGGUCCUGAAGUUUGUGGUAUUUGUUCCUAAGAUGCCCCGAUGGGUUGAACCAACGCCUUCCCUAAUCUGUGUGGACCCGAAAGUUUUCACGGGUCAUACUUAUCUGGUAUUGCACCAUUUAAAACUUUCAACAACUAAUGCCAUUUUUGAAAAACGAGAAGUGAAUGGAAGGUUAUACGUUGAAGAAGUGGGAGUCGACCUUGAACUUUGUGUUCAUGCCCAUGGACACGAUGUGGAACUUACCAUGGAAGCUUCUUGUAAUAAUAACUAUUUCCUUGAUAUAAUAUCAUCUGGUAUCGGUGAAUUGAUCCUUCGCAACCGUGGUUCCGACCAUGAUUGUUCUUCUUUGGUCUCAUUUCUUGGACAAAUUAAAUCACUUGUCUUCUGCAGGUCAAUAUGCCUGCCCAACCUCUGUUAUGAUCUACCUUCGAGUAUUACCCCUGGUAUCUCGAGGAUAUCAUGCCAUUGCACUACAUCUUAUGAACUUUUGAUGGAGUACUACCUUACCCUGUCUUUGUCACUUCACGGGUUCUGGGUUGUUUGUCAACCGAGAACACCGAUAAGUGAAUCGAUUCCGCACUCCGAUUCAAUAACUCUAAGUUAUUACCCUCCUUGCCACGUUCACUGAGAUAGUCCCCAGGUAACUAUAUUGUGUUGAGCUCCGUCCUUCCCGAGUCUUUUCCCCUUACUCCACCCCUUAAUCUCGGUACGAGAUUUCUUGUAGUGGAGGAGAUUUGUAACACCCCCACUGUCAUGCUACAGUAAUUCCCUAUUAAUGGUGCCAUGUCAUCAUGUUACUGUGCUAAUCUUCACUGAUCCAAAUCACUAUUCAAAUUCAAAUUUUAAAAUAAAGUAAAAAAUAACAUUUCUUUAAACAACUAAACAAAAUUGUUCACAAUGUGACAAAAAUUCCCAAGCAAUUGUGAAAAUAACAGAUACUUCAUUUGGAUGCCCAAGUUGUCCCUGUCAUUUUAUUUAGUGGUCAAGUUGCAUUUAAAUUAGCCUUUUCAAAAUAAACAAAUAUUUAUAGUUUUCCUUUUUGACCUCAAACUUUGUGGGCCUCUUCAACGUAUUGCCUAGUAUUUGUCUGCCAAUUUUCACAUUUAACCAAAUCCAUUGGUUAGCUAACAUAAAUAGACAAUAGUAAAGAAAAAUAAAUAAACAGAAAAAGUAAAAGAAAAGAAACGGAGGACCUAACUUACUAGGCCACUUGGCCCACCUAUCCAUAAAUGGCCCAGCCCACCCCUGUUUUCCCCUUCCUCCUGCUACAGGAAGCAGAG
rnacentral:lncRNA from 1 species